ACAUGUGACUAUACCUCCUUGAAAGUGUCUGACCUCACAUCAUUCCAGAAGCUAAGCAGGGUCAGGCUUCAAUAACAUGUGGAUGGGAGACUGCUGGAGAAUAUUUGUUACUGCAUCUG
rnacentral:rRNA from 1 species